AAGGCCUGAUGUGUGUGAGAUUACCCGCUGAAUUUAAGCAUAUAAGUAAGCGGAGGAAAAGAAACUAACUAGGAUUCCCUUA
rnacentral:ncRNA from 1 species